UCAAAAUCGGACAACGUCAACCAACUUUAAUUUUGUCGAUACUUCAGGUCUUUUCAACUGAAAUUGAGGGCAGUAGCGAGGCCCCUUAAUUGCCCGUCACAUCGGCCCACAGAAAUGCCACCAAUAUUAUAGAUAACCGUUCUGGCUUAUCACUAAGAUGGUUAUAUUGUUAUCAAAUGAAUAACAACAAUAUAAUAUUAGGUAUUUCAUUGCUCUCCGACUUUUUAUUCGAAUAAUUCCAUUAGGUAAUUGCAAUUUGAACAGAAAUACUGACUACAUUCGUACAGAGUUGUAUUCGCAGGUUUUAAUAAAAAAUUGCCAUGCAUAGGUGUAUUUUUUUAGUAAAACGUCCAAAUUAUCGCCUCGCUGCAUCACGUUAAUUUUCAUUUAAAAUUCUAUUUCUCUAAUGAUGAGUUUGAAGAAAAUGACACAGACAAAUAAAGGAUUUGGAGACGUUACAGUUGAUGAUUUUAAUUCACCCAGAAAAGCCUUAAUAAUGUCUAACUCACAUACACUUAUCCAGUCAAAUGAAAAAUUCACUGGAGGCUGAAUUUCAUGAAAUGUUUGAAAAUUGUCGAAGCCGUCAUAAAGCACUCUAGAAAAUGAUAAAGAUAAAAUUAUGGAUGCUUAGACUUAUAAAAACCGUUCAUAUUCUGAUACUGCACUCAAUGAUACUGUCGAAAAUUACUUAAUGAUAUGUUAUUUAUCAUACAUAACAUUAUAAAAUUAAAAAUACUUUAAAUAGUAUCUUUAUUCGG